rnacentral:sRNA from 14 species
UGGUUGAAUGCAUGUAAGUGGCUUUGGACAAAAGCCCCUGCUAAAUGAAUGCAA